rnacentral:rRNA from 1 species
AUUGAACGCUGGCGGCAUGCCUUACACAUGCAAGUCGAACGGCAGCACGGGAGCAAUCCUGGUGGCGAGUGGCGAACGGGUGAGUAAUAUAUCGGAACGUGCCCAGUCGUGGGGGAUAACGUAGCGAAAGCUACGCUAAUACCGCAUACGAUCUAUGGAUGAAAGCGGGGGAUCGCAAGACCUCGCGCGAUUGGAGCGGCCGAUAUCAGAUUAGGUAGUUGGUGAGGUAAAGGCUCGCCAAGCCGACGAUCUGUAGCUGGUCUGAGAGGACGACCAGCCACACUGGGACUGAGACACGGCCCAGACUCUACGGAGGCAGCAGUGGGGAAUUUUUGGACAAUGGGCGCAAGCCUGAUCCAGCAAUGCCGCGUGCAGGAUGAAGGCCUUCGGUGUAACUAGC